rnacentral:lncRNA from 1 species
GUUUUUUUAGUACCUUAGAGAGAAAAGAAAAAAUAAAAUAAAAGAUGUAUUUGUUGCGCCGAACUAUCUUAGAUUGGGUUUGUUUUAGGGACUAAGUUAUAUUAGCUUGACUUGGACUAAGUAAGAUAAAAAUAAUGAACCAUUCGGUGCAAUGUCGUACUAGCUGAGGACAUCUCCAAAGGAGAUGUCAAAAUGUCCAAAUCAGCAAUAACGGUAACAAAUAGAGCAUUAAUGUUUUUCAAUCGAGAAGCCAAAUAUGAUAUGGCAUGACAUGGAUUGAUAUAUCUCCCCCUUGCUGCCAAAUUUAACAGCACCUUCAAAUUUUUUUAAUUAAUUAUUAAAUGCUUUUUAUUCAUUUUUUUUAUUGGUUUAAAUCAUUAUCCUUUUGUUUCUUUCCAUUCCCAAUGCAAAGAAAAUACAUAUAAAUUAUUAUUUUAUGUUUAAAAUUUGACUUAUCAAUUGGAGAUCAAAAGUUUAAAAGAUGUCAAAGUGUCACGUAAGCCUUCAAAUUUAAAUUUUAGGUUUAAAAUUUGACAUCUCCUUUGGUAAAAUAUCCAAAAUAGACGUACCAUUUCUUAAUAGUUUUUCUUUAAAAAAAAAAAAAACUAAAAACAAAAAGCCUCGCAUCCGACGUUUCACUCUCUCUCCCCUCAAAAAUGGUCAUUUUCAAAUGCCAAUUUUGUUAGAGCAACUCCACCAUUGCAAAGGCCCCUAGGACUAUUCAUUAUUUAAUCCAUCAAGUAAACAGUAACUGCCUUAAUCAACAGUAACCGUCUUUUGCAUCUCUACCCCUACACUGAAUAGCCAUCACAAUAUGCAAUAAAAUAAUACAAAAUAAUUUUAUUUGUAAUUUCGAAUAAAAAUUUUAAUCGUUCUCGUUGUGCCACGUGUCAUUAUCCAAAAAGACAAUUAUUGGUGAUGAAUUUUGAUAAGAUUUGUAUCCAAUGUCAUCGUGCCACGUGCCGUUACCUUUUUAAAAUCGUUGAGGAUAGAUUUCCGAUAAGAUUUUUAACCAAAUAUGUCGCGCCACGUAUCACAAUCUGUUUACGAUCUUUGAGAAUAGAUUUCGAUCAGAUUUUUAACGAAUGAUGGCAUGCCACGUGACAUUAUCUACAACCUAAUUCUUUCUAAAUCCUCCAUAUAAUCCACCAUCAAUCCUUAGAAAUCUCACACCAAUUUUCUCAAGAUCUCUAUCAUUAUUCAUAGUUUCUGCUUCAUUCUUCACCAAAAUGUUUGAUUUAGAGUCACUUCGAUCCAUCAUGAUGACGUGCAUCAUUCUCCACAACAUGAUUGUGGAAGAUGAGUAUGAUUAUGAUGCCAUUGAUGAAUAUGAGCCAGACACGAUGAACAAUUCCAGAACACAAAUAUAUUGUGCUCAUGACGUUACCGAAUAACCCAUGCAGCAUGAGCCAUUAGAAAGGGAUGGACGUUACAAUUAAAUGCUCAUUCAACGAUAUACUGUACUUCAAAGGCCAUAUAUGCACAAUGCCCGACAAAUUGACUUGAUAGAGCACCAGUGGAAAUUGAAAUAAGUUCAAGAUACUUAAGUUCAUUUAGUGUGUUUGUUUUUAUUUGGUGUGUUUUUUAAGUUCAUUUAGUGAGUUUUUAAUUAUUUAGUAUGUUUAUGUAAUUUUAUUUGGUGUGUUUAUGUCCUUUGAAUAAAGAUUGUCUUAGUUUAAAUAAAUUACCAAAUUAAAUAAAUAUACUCUUAGUUUAAAUAAAGUACUAUAUUAAAUAAAUAAGAAAUUACAAUCCAAAGUGAUUGGAAAAUUAUGGGCUCUGAUUACAAACAAAGUGAUGGGAAAAUUAUGGGCUCGUGAAUGGAAAAUCAUCACCUAACCAAUUUGUGGUGCUAGGAUCAUCUUCUCAUGUGGUGCUAUGACCAUCUCCUCUUGCUCUUGCUUCUCUUGCACGCCUCCUUUGCACCAAGUCUGCUUUCUCUGAAUUCCAAAAAUAUUUAGAAUUCGGAGACUUCCCUUCUAAAGGUGUGUUCAUAAUGUCACAAUCUCAUUGAGCCCUUAUUCUCUAAUCUCUUCCCUGUCUUGCCUAAGUAGCUCUCUUUCUCUCUCAUUAGCUUGAAAUUCUCUCACAGCAGCUGUAGCUUUUGCCUCCUCUCUAGCCUUAUUAGCCUUAAAUUUAGCCAUUUCUCGCGCCAAAGUCAAUUCACCUUGGCGAGCAAGUUCUUCCAUAUACUUUGCAUAAUCAUUCUUGGAAGCACUCCCUUUUCUCUUUGAAGCCUUCGUACCUUGAGGCCUAAUUGGAUAACGGGUCGACCCCGACGCUUGUUCAGGGAGAGUUUCCGACAUUUGUUCUGGGUCAUCUUUAUGAACAUGCAAGGCAUGAUCGGGCGUAGAAUGUAGAGGGGUGUUAUUCAUGACAACUUCUGGACCAAUAGGCACAAUUCUGAAUUGAGGACAAUCUUUGACAAUAUUCCAACAUUCCCACCGGGUGAUGAUUGCUUUUGGUUUUUGGAUUUGGCAUUAUACCAAGAUUGUGCUAGAAGUGUCUACACAAUGCGGGAGAAUAAAUAAUUAUAAUCAAAGUAGGUAAUAUAAAUAUGGGUAUAGUACAAACAAAUAAAUAAUAUAUUGUUACUUGAUCCGCUAAAUUUUCCCCACUUCGAAGAUUAUAACUAGCUUGUGCCACGUCAUCUCUCCACAUACUAAACGAUUGGCUAAGUAUUCUCUAACGACUGGACAUCGAUUCUUUGGUUCUUUUCCCAUCAAUUUUCUCAAAAUAAUUGGCAUGAAUAAGACUCCACAUUUCUCGUAACUGCAUCUCAUUACCCGUAAUCGGAUCAUUAGUAACUUCAACCCAGCUAGUACACAACGUAACAUCUUCAAUAAGUGUCCAAUUUGUACCUGCAUCAUUAGUCAUUUUGUUGGAAAAAAAAAUUGGAUUUAAACUUUGAGAGAAAGAUAGGAAUGUGGUUGAAACUAGUUGACAAAAUAUGAAAUUGUGGUGUAAGGUAGAAGAUAAUCAGAAUGUAUUUAUAUAAAAGUAAAAUUGUUUUUUUUAAUUUUUCAAUUUUUUUUCGGAUUUUUAUUAAUUUUUUAUUCACAUAAGUAAUCUCUACCAUUGGAUUAAAAAAAAUUUUGAAUUCCAAUUCUCUAGAUUGUGCCACGUGGCACAACGGUAAGAUUUUAGAAUUUAAAACUGUUUUUUCUUUUUUUUUUAAUUUAUAAAGCCGAAUAACGUGGACCGUUGAUUUCAAAUCCAAUGGCUGAAAUUAAAUAAGGUUUUAAUUUUUUUUUUACCGUUGGAAAUCCAACGAUCCAUAAAAUGUUGCCAUUGAAAUCCAACGGACGUGGGGAAGUCACAUGGCCUCCCCAACAGUAACAUUUCAGAAAAACGUCGUGGGCCCCAUGUCUAAAACAGUGUUGGACGACGUGCGCCCAUGCGCAUGCUCUUAGCGCAAAAAAGAGAGAAAACGUGGCUGACGUCAGCCUUGCAUCAUACCCACUUUGGUAAUUGCAGGACAUAAGAGUACAAGAUUUGGUAAUUGGGUUUCCACUUAGUCUCAUUAAUACCUAAAAACAAUCAUUUAACAUAAAAAGAUCAAUUGCGACAUUCGUAUGCGUGUAACAAGAGACUAGUAUAUAUUAAAAGAAAUAUCUUAUGAAAUAUAGAUUGUAAUUUCAUAUUAUAGUAUAUAAAAAGAAUUGUUAUUGGCACUCCAAAUUUUUUAUAUUUAGAAAGAAAAAAAAAUACUCUUAUAAAGAGUAUAAAAUAAGAUAUUUGAAGUGCAAAUAAGAGUUCGUAAAUAAUUUAGUAAUAAUUUGAAGUGCAAAUAUAAAAAAUUUGGAGUGCCAAUAACAAUUUUUUUUAUAUACUCUAAUAUGAAAUUACAAUCUACGUUUCAUAAGAUAUUUCUUUUAAUAUAUACUAGUCUCUUGUUACACGCAUAUCGCAAUUGAUCUUUUUAUGUUAAAUGAUUGUUUUUAGGUUUUAAAUUUAAUUAUUUUUUGUAAUAAAAAAUAUUCCAAAAAAAAAAAAAAAACAGAAGACUACUACGUGGGUUUUCUUUUCAUUUUUUUAAUGUAUAACCUUCAUCUCAAAAUUCAAACUGUCUUGAUUACUAUUUUGUCCCUUAUUAAUUAAGUUGUUUUUUUUUUCAAAAACUUUAAUAAAGGAGGGGCAUUUUGAACGUUUAACCCUUUCAUCCUUCUCACUUUAUAUACAGAGAUUCUUCAAAAUACACCCCAAAUCAUCCUAAUGUUCUUACUUAUUUUCUCGAUCUUCACUUUUACCCUUCAUUAUUGAGCAAAACUGAAAUCACUAAAAGCAAAAACACUUCGAAUAAAAAUAUGUUAACUUGACGAUGAAACAUAAAAUCUGCGUUUUUAGCUCGCCGUUCAUUUUACUAUUAUUCGAAAAAGCACUACUAUGGGUUGUUUAUCAAAGAGAUAAACUUUGAAACAAUUGGAAAGGAAUUUGAAUUCCAGAUACCUAAGUUCAUGUAAUGGUCAUCCAGAAAUCAGAUGAACUACCAAGUUUCUUAUGAUGAAGAAAAUAUACAAAUAAGUACUCUUGAGUUUUCAUAAUUCAAAAAAUAGAUGUGGGGUGUAUUCAAAUAAACUUUAAUUUAAAAAAUAGAUGUAGGUUGUAUUAGGUAUGUGAGGUGUAGCCACCAAAAUAUGGGGUGUGAAUAAAAUAGCUCAAAAAAGGUCACUUAGUACUACGUUUUAGUGAUAUUUCUUUUCAAUUGUAAGUGAAAUGUUUUAUGUUUGAUUCUCGUCAAAGACGAAUUUGAACCUCAUUAUUGCUAGCCUAUUGUGUGACUUAGCCCACUCCUCCAUUUCAUCCCUAAUGUAGAUAAUAUCAUUUUUUCAAAAAAAUAAAAAUAAAAAUCUAUUGCAGGUGGACACUUUAGUGGGUCAACCAAUGAUCGGAAUCCAAUUCUUCAUUAAUCGGAAUCUAGUUCUUGAUUUCCUAGUGUUUAUUAAACAUAUAAUUAUUCACUAAUCGGAAUUCAAUUCUUUAUUUUGAUUCCAAUUAACGGUAGGUAAACAGGUCAUUCCUGGCUUUAUGAAGAGUGAUAAAAUCUAAAAGUUUCAUAAUGUUCAUGCAUGCAAGCAUCCUCUAUUUUAGCUUUUCUUCGAACAAUUUAUUUUCAAAUACACCUUCUUCUGGCGUGCGGAAGGGGAAUGGAAUGAGAGAAAUGAAAAUUGCACCCAUUCUAAGUCAUUCAGUAGCGUGUUUACGUAUCUGUGAUGGGAAUAAAUAUAGGGAAUUGGAUUUCGAUUAUGAAGAAUUCAAAUGUUUACAAAUUUUGAAAGAAUCAAGAGAGUGAUAGAGUUCACACAAAAUAAGGAAUUCAAUUCCUAAAAGUGGAGGAAUUGAACUCCCUAUAUUGAUGAGGUAUUUGAAUUCCAUGAGGGUGAGGGAAUCGGAAAUGCAAGCCUUCUUCCUAUUAUGCCCUCUUAUUAUUUUUAAAAUUUCAAUCUGCAAGCCAUUUCCUUCUAUUUUUCUUCGUUUUUUUUCUUGAUACAAACCAAAGGGCUAGCUGUUUGAUAUAUCAUAUACGCACACAAUAUAUGUAAACAAGAAGAGUGCUGAGGAGGUGGAUGAGGGCAUGUUAAAACAACUAAUUAAAAUGUUAUUAAAAAAACAUAGAUGAAAUAAAACAAAAAAGAACAAGGGCAUUUUAUUAUCAUAUUGAUUUCUAUUCCGAUUUAGGUGAAUUUGUAAACAACUUAUAUGAACUCAGUUUUAUUCCUACUCCGAUUUCAGAAUAUUUAAGUAAACAACUUUAACAAGAAUCUAAUUCUAACUCAUCUUCAAUUCAAUUCCUCCUUAAUUUAAUUCAUCUGAUUUUGAUUAUGGUUAUGUAAAUGAGCCACAAGUAUUUGCAUUUACCAAUACUUGGAGAAUGAAAAUACAUAUAGACCCACCUAAAAUGGAGAAUCAUACUCCUUAAACUUCUAGAAUUGGAUUCUUGAGAUUGGUGUGGUAUUUGAAUUCAGUCUAAUCAUACUUAUCUUCUACUGUCGAACCACUAACACCAAUUUAUACCUAAAAAUUUGUUUAGCAACCUCUAAAACAAAUUUGACAUUCUCCAAAUUUUGAAAUCACCAUAGCUCACCAAAAUUGCAGCGGGAAAUUGAAAAAAAUAAGAAAGCAAAAACCAAAACAAGAACAAAACAAAAACCUUGCUCCCCAUUGGUCAAUCACUUACCACGCGGAUAGCUACCCUGGCGUCCACUACCGUCGAUAAGACCCCCAUCUGACGGUCCCAAUCCUCUAACCAGCUUCUCAAGCCUUCGAUAUCCCCUGGAACAAUAUGAUCCACAAUACAUCCCACUCUAUAAAGCACAUCCUCUUAACUGAUUCCCAAAUCCACUGUCUGAACAUUGGCAAUUCUUUCUCUCCGUUUCCGAUUUGGGUUUUUGAGUCAGAAGGGUGUCUCAGGUUCUCAGUGAAUUUUAGUGCGGUUAGGGUUUGAGAUAUGGAGACUGGUGGUAAGUUGAAGAAAGGUGCCGGAGGAAGGAAGGGCGGCGGUCCGAAGAAGAAGGCGGUGACCCGGUCCGUCAGGGCCGGCCUCCAGUUCCCAGUCGGAAGAAUCGGCCGCUACUUGAAGAAGGGACGGUAUGCGCAAAGAGUCGGGUCUGGAGCUCCGGUUUACUUAGCCGCUGUGCUCGAGUACCUCGCAGCUGAAGUAAGUCUCUUUCUCUAUGACCUCUUUUCUCUCUCUAGAUCCAUAUGUGAGUUUGAUCUUGUUUUGGUAGCUAAGGUUUGAGCUUUGAGUAUCGGGGUUGUGUUUAAUUUUUGUGGUUUAGGGUUUGUGUUAGAUUUCUGCCCGAAAUUUCUGUUUGGUUGCUGAGAAAAUUUCUGAUGUGGGUUUCUUGGUUUUUAUCCAGGUCCUGGAGUUGGCUGGAAAUGCAGCUCGGGACAACAAGAAGAACAGGAUUAUCCCAAGGCAUCUGCUACUGGCCGUGAGGAACGAUGAGGAGCUUGGAAAAUUGCUUGCUGGUGUGACCAUUGCUCACGGCGGUGUGCUUCCAAACAUCAACCCGGUCCUCCUGCCCAAGAAAUCAGAGAAAGCCGCCGGAAAGGAGCCAAAAUCUCCAACCAAGGCAACCAAGUCUCCAAAGAAGGCUUAGGUUCUCUCAGUGAAUCAAUCCCAGCAAAUGUUUAGUCAAAUCCCCACAUGUUUAGAUUUAGUUUGUGACCCCUCCCCAUUUGUAUGUAGUCUGUAUGCAGCAGGUCUUUGUCUUUCGUUUGUUGUAGGAGAAAAGAGAAAUCGAGACUUGAACUUCCAUUGAAUUUGAAAGCAGUUGUAAUCCUUCAAAAUCUUGUGUGAUCUUGUCAUGUUUUAGGAGCUUUGAUUUUCUUGGAAUUCCAUUUAUGAAAUUGAAACCCCUUGUUUCUUUCAUUGCCUCAAGUAGUAGUUUGUUUGAUGAGAUUUGAAGGUUUGGUAAUGAUGCCUUUUGAUGUGAUGUUAUUUGUCAAUUGGUUGCUUUGUGAAUUGUUUGAAGAAAAGGGACCUCUUUUUUGUUUUUAUCAAGCAUAAUCUGCACCCUUUAUCCAAUAUUCCUUUUGCCUUUUAUACCACCUUUCUUUACUGUAAUGACUUGGUAUUAGUUUGGUGUCUACGAUUGGAUUCAAUAACUUAAUACAGUUAAAGAUAUGUUAAAAGAAUAAAUGGAAUAAAUUUUUUUUUGUUUUUUUAAUCUUGGAUUUAAGGUAGUUAAAUUUCUCACGAAGGAAACUUAUUCCAUUCAAUUCUUUGAAAAUGAUGAUUAAGGGCUUGCUUGGUAUGCAGGAUAUGAUUGGAACUAACAAUUCUCUUAUUUUAAGGCAUAUUGAUGGUUGAAAAUGAUUUUUGGUUGAAGGGGAUGAGAAGAGGAAUACAUAUGAAGAAAAUUCAUUCCUUCUAAUUCUAUCAUUUUGGAGAGGAUCUGAAUGGAUAAGUUUUUUUUUUCAUGAGUAAUUCAUCUUCUAAUCUCUUAUUGGUUUUAAGUUUUUCAUUUCUCACCUUAAAAUACCAUAAAAUUAGGAGUUAUCCAUUCCAAUUCAAUCUUAUAUACCAAACGAGCCAUAACUUCCUUCACGUCCUCUAAUCCCUUCAAAAUGAAUGUCAUUUAUCUUGAAAUUGAUGAGUUCAAUCCAAUGAAAUCUUUGGAGCAGACGAGACCUCAGACCUUGGUGUUUUUAGGCAGAAUUGCUCAUUGGAAAUUGGCAUUUGAUGUGUAGAGUUGAGAAAGGAGAAAGGAGAGUAGAAAUUGGAAGUGGGAAACCCUUUUGUUGAUGUGAGUAGUUGAAUCAUUUAAUCCUAUGCGUUCACCUUCUGCACUACAUAUGUGAUUGAUUUGGAUUUGGCUAUGUUCUGUAUCCUUUUUAUCUUUUUUGAGGGUCUGAAAGAAAAAUACCAGUAGACCAAUAAUUAGACAGUAAUGACUAUGUAUUUUGAUAUCUGUUGCACGAAAUUUAUUGUUACCAUUAAAAUUACUAUUUGGUUCUCGGAAAUAAUCACGCCGAAAUAAUUUGGUGAAGCUCUCUUCCUCUUGUGUUCAAUGCAGGAACAUUCUUGCAUAGGAAGAAAUAUCGUUGAAUGGUUUGGUGUUCAUCGAUAUAUAGCGGACACUUGAAAAUGGAUUGCCAGAUGCUAAUUUUGCUACUUUCUUCAAUUUUCAAGAAUUAUAUUGGCUUUUGCUGUUACUUGUAUGUAUGUAGGUAGAGGAUAUGGGAAUGAGCAUAUGAUAGGAAGCAGACCCUAAGAGUCUAUGUCCAUUUUUUUGAGAUGACAUUUUCAUUACAUUCUUUAUCGUAUACGUGAGUGAUUUUUAGCUACUUAUUAAUAUAAUACAUGGAUUGGAAUUUAUAUAAGCUAUGAAGCACGGAUACGGAUGCGGUAAUACGAAUUUGGGAGCAUGAAAAAUAAAAAAAUGGGAAUUUGGUAGCAGCGGGGAUUCGCCAAUUAAAAAGGUUUAAAUAACGCACCCUGUCUCACUUCAAAAUUCAUGUGUAGGACAAAAACAGUGUCGUUUUGUGAGUCAGGGUAGGGACUGCACUUCAUCUUCUAUCCGCAGCUUCUUUGGAAGGCGGAACCACUGAGCGACAGCCGUUCACACAGCCGCUUCAAGCCGCUACCAACCGAACCCAGGCAAACCAGGCGAAUCCGCUCCCGGGGCGCCAAACGGCACCGGUUCAAAGAAUCCGUGCUCAUUUUACUUUCACCCAGCCGGAGGAGCAUCGAGCUUUCAGUCAGCUCAUGACGGAAGCGUUUUGCGGCCAUAUUCCUCCCAAUAGACCGGCGCACGCUAAGGUGAAAUGAGAGGCGCAAAUGGCGUAGUUGGUAUUCUGCGCACGUCUGUCCUGGCCAGGAUUUUAUUGACUCGCCACUCUUGCUCCAAAUUGUUUGUUGCAGGUCUGCCAAAACCUAACCCUUUUGCUUUGAUUUGUUUCUCUUAGAAUUUUAUUUUUCGAUAUUCUCCUCGGUCGAUCUUGUUCUAAGUUAAAAUUCUUUGGUCGAAAUCUUAUUGCCAAUGCAUCAAAUAGCCAAACUCCAAUCCCAUUUCGCUGUAGAUUAGAGUAGUUUAGAAUAUCGCGUUUAUAUAUAGAUUGUUGAUAAAAGAUAUAACCGUGAAAUUUUGGAUUUUAAGUUCUACUGCUUUUGAUAUUGUAAAGAUCAUGGGUUUGGAGACGUGGAUUAUGCCAAUUGGAAAGGGCAUUUUACCCGGCCUUUCACACGCAAGUUCGAAUCUGUAGAUUAGAGCAGUUUAGAAUAUCGGCUUAGAUUUGAAUUGUUGAUAAAAGAUAUAACAACUAAAUUUUGGAUUUUAAAUUUGUUUGAGGCACCGAAGUAGGGGAAACAAGUUCCGACAGCUUUUGAUAUAGUAAUUAUACUGCAGCCUAAGCUAUCUGUAAUAUGCAGGGCUUUCCUGGGAUACAAAUGAACCUGUUCUUAAGGAAGCUUUCGGAAAACAUGGUGAAAUAAUUGAAGGUAGUGUUAAACUCUUUGAGGCUGGCAAUAAUUUCGUAGGUCUUUAUUUUCUUGUAGAUGAUGCAAGGAUACCAAUUAUUUACUUGAGAAUUUAUGUCGAUGUGUUAAACAGUUAAAGUUAUUUGUGAUCAUGUGAGUGGGAAAUCGAGAGGGUAUGGAUUUGUGAAAUUUACCUCUGAAAGUGAAGCCACCAUUGCUCUCAAGGAGAUGGAUGGUCAGGUAGUUUUGUCCAUCAUGAUUAAUUUCUUUGUAAUUUGCAUGUGUCGAAAACUUGAAAUCACCCUACUAGCUACCUUAUUAGGAACACAAAGUAAUAUUAUUGCUCCAUGUUUGUGUUACUUUUCAGGUUCUGGAUGGCAGACAAAUCCGCUUGCAAUUUGCACACAAGGAGUAGUGACAUUGAUCUGAGGUAAAAUUUACUUAGUAGAUAAAAGCUUUUUACGAUUUAAGUGUUUGGUCACACUACUCUGUGCUUUGGUUCUUUCCAUGGAGUUUACUAAUCAAGUUCUGUACCAUAUAAUUUUCGUUGGCUGGAAUUCCUUUUACAGUUGGCUUUGUAUUCAUUCGUUACCAGUUGCUUCCAUAUGCUAGUCAUGCCUUACAUAACAAAUAUCCAUUUUUUCACGGGAAAUAAGUUGCCAAUUUUUCAUGUUGCAUAAACCAGGAAAAUUUAACAUUUUGGGAAGCGUUUUGGGUUAGAAAAAUGAUUUAGCUUCAAAAUUUCUUGCUUCUCAUCGAUGAUAAAGCAGGUUCUAGGCUGAUUUUGGCUUUUCAUAUUUCUGUCUCACAAAUUGCUUCUAUUGACCAUCAAUUGAUGCUGCUAGAAUGAAAACUGGUGGCAGGAUUUAGCUUACAAUUGUCCAAUUGAUAAUGUAUAGCAUAAAGUUGUUUAAUUUGAUUACAAAACAUGCAUGUUCUAAGGGACUACGGAUGGUGGUAGGGAGCAUAGCGUUAACUUGCUCCCAUUUGCUCCCAGGACAUAUUUGUCUUGAACAUAAUAGGUGAGAUCCAGAAAGCUGGUUUUUUGUUUGUUUCGGAGCCUGUAUAAUUUACUUUAGGAUGCUUCCUCUAAGUGGUAAUAUCAUGUCUUGUUGCGUGUUUGAGCAGGUACAGUGGAUUGGAGGGGGCAUGCAGCAUGCCGCAUGCUGUGGUAGGUAGUGGUAACCAGCAAGUCCAAAUUUAAGUUGCCCACAAAUUGUUGUUGUCCAUUGACAAUUCUGUAAAAUUCUGAGUGAUAAUUUUUUCCAGUUAGUGUCGUCAUCUAUGAAAUCAAGAUAUUUGAAGAGAUUUGAUCAAACGUUACGGUGAAACACAUACGUCUCCCGUACCAUAAAGAGACAUUCCAUCAAGUUUAUAUCCCCUCAUGGCGGUUCUUUGAAAUGAUCUGAAUCGAAAACUUGGCUUACGACUGGUUUUGGAUCUUUUGGUACGGCAAGGGUAGCAUGUCCAUGGGGUAGCAGUUGGAUGUUCAUACACAAUGAUAGGGAAAGAACUAAGACCUUCAUGCCCUUCUUGCCCCUGCCCUCCAUUCCAUCUUGGUGUAGUUUUGCAUCCGUACAUAUAUCACAAACUCUGUUGGUUUUUGCUAUAAAAACAGGUCUUAGUUCUGUGAAAAAACAAAAAUGAGAAUAUGCACAAGUUUUUGUUGUUUGUGGGCUUUUGGAGUGAGAAUAUGGAAAUGUUUGUGUUGUUUGUGAGAUUUUGAGGAAACUAAACUUAUCGAGAUCGGUUUAGAGUAUGGGUGGGCACGAUCUGAAUCCAGAUGGGCGAUAACAUAGAAAUAAGGAGGUGGACGGGAAACAUAGAUUGGAUAAAGAAGGGAUCAGAAUAUGGAGCACAAGUAGAUUCGGUCGAAACAUUGGGGACAUAAUGCAGGCCGACGAGCACGCAGAAAAUAAAAGAAGAAAUAGAGAAACAUGAGAUGACCACCGACCCUCUGUUUGGCCAGGGCCAGCGACGGAGAAGGGAGGAAGCUCCAUGAGAUGGCCACCGACCCUGGAUCUGGCCAGGGCCAGCGACAGAGGGAGGAAGAAGUAAACAUCAAACUCUCACAAGGAGAAGGAACUCUAAUGAGCUCUCUCACGAAGGGGAGUAUUUUAAGACUUUUGUACUCUCGUUAAUGCGUAGUGCAAACUAUAUAUAAGAGAAACAAUCAAGAAUAGUAAUCUCAUCGUUUAGCAUAAGCGAAGUUGAAUUCUCAAUCCUUAUUUCUCAAACUCUAUAUCCCUUUUCAAUGCGGAAAAAAAAAGAAAAAAAAAAAGAAAGCAUGGUAAUCUGAUUUGAGUUCAAUCCUAAACCAUUCCAUUUUCGUCGAUUCAACCGGCCAACACUGAAAGCUACAAAGCAUGUGGGCAUGAAGACAUAUUGAACAAGACAAUGACCAAGUUAACUUCCCUCAAGAAUAGGUAUCGUUUUCAUGCCUUCCAGUCUGGGCAACUUCAACAAAAAUCAGCCUCCCGUCAACCAUCUGGACAAAUUAUCAACAAAUUAAGAUUUCAGAAGAGAAAGAGGUCGAAAAAGCACAACAAAACAAGGGAUGCUGGCAAUUUGAUCAACCAAACACACAUUCAGGGAUAAAAGACCAGAAAUGCUUGACAAACUGCAGUCUAUAGCAUCUCUAUCAAUUCAAUUUGACUAAUUUCAAUAUUAAAUUGAAAAACGAAACAAAUUUACAUAAUUUAACAGCAUAAGAACACUUCUGAUACGAGUGAAUUAACCACUUUAAUCUGAAAAAAAUAUGGAUUUGUGAAUUGGGUUUUGUUUUUCCCAUAGGAAGGAAAUUACCCUGCCAUCCAUUGCCUUCAAAGCUUUUUGUGCCUCAACAUCUGACUGGUAAGUAACAAAACCAAAACCUUUUGGUCUAUCAGUUCGACGAUCCAUAAUUAACCUAGCUAAACAAACAAAUCAAAAAAUCACAAAGGAAAAACCAGUCACUAAUUUUCCACAUAUUACGGAGUAAAAAAAAUAAAGAAUUAGAGAAAAUUAAUAUGGAAAAAAAAAAAAAACCUUCUGUAACAUUUCCAAAAGGAGAGAACAAUUUCCUGAGCUGUUCACUGGAAGUGAACGAUGAUAACCCUGAAAAACAAAUCCAGGAAAUCAGAACACAAAAACCCAAAACAUAAAAUUUGAGAGAGAGAGAGAGAGAGAGAGAGAGAGAUUACUGCUGACGAAGAGCUGCGAGCCUAAUCUUUUGGCCAUCUCUGUGUGUUAACCCAAAUCCCGGAUUUCUAUUUAUUUUGAUAAAAAGUAGUGAACGAGCAGUUUUUGUACUUUAAAGCUAAAUUGGGAAUUUAGGGUUCAUCACUUCGAAGUUGUAAAUUAGUAAACUCACUUGUGCCCAGAUGCUAGAUAUUUGUUGAGCUUUAUUGGGCUUUGUUAUUGCUAACCAUCUGGCCCAUAUUCAAAAGGAGUUGAUCCAAUGUCUGCCAUGCCCAAAUUAGUUUGGAGUUAACAUAAAGCAAAAUCUACACAAAAAUGAAUGAACACUUGCAAAUCAAAAUUUACAUCUCCUCGUUUGCAUCUAGGGGUGGGCAUGGGCCGGGGAUAACAUUUUCUAAUAUAGGAACCGGACCUUACCCGGCCCAGUUGAAACGGGCCGGUUCGGGCUGGGUCCACGGGUCCUUUUUUUUUUUUUUGAAAAAAAAUAACUAAAAUUUGCACAGAUUCAGCAGAUUCACUACCAGUACCAGUGCAGACUGCAUUUGUGCAGAUUUUGCACAAAUUCACUCCGAGUCCCUGCAAUGAUUCACAUCCAAUCCAAAUACAAAGUCCAACAUCCAAGUUCAUAGAUUAAUAAUUUGAGGUAACAAAGUGAACAUCUGGGACAUUUCGACGUCAUUGUGAGAUAAGUUUAUUAAUUAUACUUGUUGCAGUUGGUAGAGAUGCUGAACUUGUAAGGGAGGUUAGCUCCACAGCUGGAAUCUAGCACCACUCUUUUCCAGACAGCUGCAAGAGAGAAACGAUAAAAAUAUAUGAGUUACUCUUGACCAUCUGGGAAAUUUACAAUAAAAUUGUAUGAUAAAUGAUAUUUAGGAAAUAGAGGUAUUAUUAAUGAGAAUAAUAUCUUUCCUUUUAUGCUUCUAUUAGGAAUCAGGAUAUACAAAUGCAUAGCCAGACAUCUAUUAUAAUCCUAACAAAUCAAAACUAGUGUAAGAACCUGAAGUUGUAGAGCCAGUUCAAAACAUAUAAACCACAAAGCAAGCAGGUGAUCUAUAUUAAAGAGCACUUUAAGUACAUAAAUCAAGUGAAAAGCCCAAUUGAACGCUAUACAAAAUACCCAAAUCUGGCUCAGGGUGACAAGCAAGUCCAGAAUAAUUGAAAUACGCAUCCCAGAUAAGUAAACAUGUCAUGAUUGUUUUCUUAAUUGAGAGAGAUCAUAAUUGUGAGUUCAACUUCGUUUGUAGCCACUACAAUUUAUAGGCUUCAACAUUCAACCAUUGGAGUUCCUACCUAAUGAGACAUCCUAGAGAAUACAAAACGCUCUUUGCCAGACACAAUGUAUCCUUUAUGUAGACAGACUUCUGGAACCUCAUUAACCCCAAAAACUACAAACUAUAUCUUUAUCAAUAUCCCUAUUUUUCGAAACAUUACAUAAGCAUGUUAAACUUCAUAGGUGAAAGUGUUUAUGAGAUUCUUGAGAGCAAAAGCAUGGUUUCCAAUGGAUAGUUUUCAUUUCUUCAGUAGUGGUCACACUAUCUAGUAUCUAAUUUUCUUAACAACUUAGAAGGCAUCAAAGCUUGCCAAAAUAAUUCUCUGAGGAUCAUGGUUAUAAAAUUUCUAACUCAUAGUACUUCUGAAACCAUCUCUUCCUCUAAAUUUUUACAUAAAAAAAUUGAAACAAAAAGGGAAAGAAAAAAAGUUGGCAUCUCUUCCCAAAUCCCAAUUUCUCACAGCCCUAGCACAAUUCAACAAACCAGUGAAGCUCAGCUAGCCUCAAAUUUACCAGCUAUAGUUGCACUUCAUAGUCUAGUAUGGACCAGAAAACUCAUGAUCCAUCAAAUGGCAGGAAUUCAAUAUAGCCAAACCAACACAAAUCGCCUUAGAUUGUCUAGACCGGUUACCAGGAGGAUUUCGUAGCGUCCAAAUUGGAACCAAAAACAAACAAUCUGACCUGAUUUAUUCAUCAUAUUAACAAAGUUAUUGCUGCAUAUGUACUGCAAACAGGAAUUCUAAUAGUCCAAACAUUCAGAUUAUUAAAGGCCCUCUGGGUUCUCAGAAGCAAAUAAAUCAAUCAUCAAUUCAAUCAUCAACAGUAACCUAGUUCGAAAACCCUAAAAUCCCUACACCCAAAAUUCAAAUUAAUAACAAAACCCUAAUUCAAAAUUACCUAAAUUUUAGAGGGAUGAUGGAUGGUACCAGUGUCCUCGACGACGAUGAUGGGGUGAUGGUGGUCGCGACGGUGGGGGUGCUGUCAAAGAGGAGAGAAUCCACGGCGGGGCUAGUGGGGUGAUGGCCUGGGUUCUAUGGGAUGUCGUCGAGGAGGAUGAUGGGUGAUGCCGUUGUGUUCGUCGCGACAGUGGUGAUGUCGUCGAGGAGAAUCGACGGCUGGUGAGAACUGUGAGGAGGAGAACGAUUGGAGUCGAGGGACUGAGAGUCUGAGAGCGAGAGUGAUUCUGGAACCCGGGAGGAUUUGGCAAGGGUUAAAACUAACGGUUGAGGUUGGAUGAUAAGUUAUCAUUUAAUCUUGACCGUUCAUUAUAAUUAGAAAUGGGUCGGUUUGGGUACCGUUUGUUUUAAUUAGAGUAAAUUGUAACAAUGGUCCCUCAACUUCAAUCAACUUGGAGCAAUGGUCCCUCAACUAAAAAUUCAUUACCAUUGGUCUCUCAACUUAUCAAAAUGUGUAGUUAUAGUCAUUUUCAUCAAUUUCGUCAAAAUUUUGUCAAAAUAAGUUAUGUUGGAAUAACCAUUUAUAUAAUUAGGGUCCCUUAACUCAUCAAAGUGUGUAAUUAUGGUCAUUUUCGUCAACUACGUAAUUUUUUUUGUCAAAACGAGUUAUGUUGGAAGGACCAUUACUACAAUUGGGUUAAAAUUAAGGGAUCAUUUCUCCAGUUGAAUUAAAGUUGAGGGGCCAAUGGUAAUGAAUUUUUAGUUGAGGGACCAUAGCUGCAAGUUUUGAUAAGUUGAGGGACCAUUGCUUUAAUUGAGUUAAAGUUAAGGGACCAUCGCAACAAUUUACUCUUUUAAUUAUAAGAAACCGGCCCAGACCGUUUUCUUUCUACAAUUUUUUAGAACCGGCCCUACCUGCCCCGAACCUAGAUUACCUGUCCUGACCUGCGGUUUCUCUACCUGUUUGCCCACCCCUAUUUGCAUCUAUGCAUUAGAGCAAAGCUAAAAUUUUAUGUAUAUGAUCUCCAAUCUUGGAGAUGCUCUUAAGCCUCUUAGUUCUCACCUAAACCCAAGCAAGGGACUUCAUAUCUCGCUUACAAGUAUAGUAUACAUUGUCACAUCCCGGCUCGGGAUGGACCACUUCCCGGGCCCGCUCCACCACCAUAGCACGAUAUUGUCCGUUUUGGGCUUACCAUUCCCUCACGGUUUUGUUUUUGGGAACUCACGAGCAACUUCCCAGUGGGUCACCCAUCCUGGGAGUGCUCUGGCCUCCUUCUUGCUUAACUUCGGAGUUCCUACGGAACCCGAAGCCAGUGAGCUCCCAAAAUGCCUCGUGCUAGGUAGGGAUGAGAAUAUACAUUUAAGGAUCACUCCUCUGGGCGAUAUGGGAUGUCACAUACAUUCAUAUAUUUAUUACUUUAGUUAAGGUAGAAUGUUUUGCAGAUAUAUUUAUGUUAGUUUAUUAGUUUUUUUUUGUUACAAGAUAUUAAUUAGAUUUUUUAGAGUUGAAAAAUGCAUAAUAUUAGAUGAUUUUAAUUGAUUAUUAAUUUUUUUUAGAAAAUAUAAAAUGGAUAUAAAAAAAAAUAACUUAACUCACUUUUAAAAAUCAUCUAUGUUUUUGGACCUGGGCCUAAAAGCCUCUAAAAUUUAUAUAGUAAAAUAUGUUAUCCGCCAAGGCGGAUGUAAAGAUGCAUAUAUCCUUCUCAAGGGGGGAUGCAAUAAUCAUCAUUUUUCAUAAGGGUCGAUGAUAUUCCACCCUUUUUGCCCAUCUUAUAUAAGGAUAUAUCAUUUUUUAUAAUGAUAUAUUUAUACUAAGGGUGUUACUGAAAUAAACUGGUAUUCAAUUCGUGAGAUUCAAAUUUAAAAACUCUUACUUACAAAUAAUAAAAUAUCACUAUAGAAUAGUUAAAUUUUUAUUUAAAAAAUUAGUUUGAUUUUUCAAAUCUUUUAUUAAUGGGCACGAUUAUAAAGAAUUUAUGUUUAAAGAUCCGUUGAGAAGUUAUUGCAACCUAAAACAAUUAGAUGUCUAAUAUAUUUUGGUUAAGGAAUUGAACACUCACAUUCAACAAUCAUUUUUUUUUUUAUGUGGAGUACAUUACAUUUAUAAUUCUACCACAAAGGGGCACUAGCCAUAAGGCAAAUACAAAUACAGAAAUACACACACCAACAACAUAUACAACAAACUCACGAUGAGUUGUCGCAACUUAUUCCGACUCUGAAAGAGUUAAAUUGCAAAAAAAACUUAAAACAAGGCCCUACAACAUCCAUAAUGUGAAGUUACACUUAAUACACAGACUUAGUGUCUCCAACAUAAUCGGCCAAAAUAUUAUAAUUUCUUUUGCGCUUCUUAAGGAAGUUCUUGAACCAAUACGUCGAAAGUUUUGGGUGCCUUUUCCGUCCAUUGUCAUAAUCCACAUAGUUGAUACCAAAUCGAACUGUAUACCCUUCGCUCCAUUCAAAGUUGUCUAAAAUUGACCAUGCAAAGUAUCCUUUCACAUUACUUCCCUUCCUGCACCCCAAAAAAAAUUAAGGAAAACUAAUGAAAAUGGUUUGAAAACUUUGAGUUUUAAUAAUAAGGACAAAAUAAAGGGUAAAGUGAAUAGUACCAGAAUUGAUUUUUUAGUGUAAAAAUGUGGUUUUUGUUAAAAUGAAUAGUACCGAAAGCUUUUCGUUAAAGUUCCCAAAAAAUUAAUGAUUUGGCAUCAAUGUGAUUACUAAAUAACCAAAAAGCAAUAUAGUUUUAAUUACUUUGUCAACAACACUUACUUGAUUGCUGCUUGAAGGUAACAGAGAUGGUGAUUGUAGUAGUCAGUUCUAUUGGUGUCAUGAAGAGCAUCCUCUAGUGAUAAGGUUGAAUUAUUGACCUCGUCAAUGCCUGCAAUAAAAUUCAUUACAAUACAUAUUUAGUAUUCUCUUUUAUCUAAAAAAGAGAGAUGAUUGGUUUUAUAUUUAGAUUUGGCAGCACUUAACUGUAUUUUACAUCAAUUUAUACAUAUAUAAAAAAUGAUAAGUGAAAUAAUUAAGUUAGGUGUAAAAGUGUUAAUUACCAUUCUCAGUAAUGUAAAUGAUUGGAUCACCAUACUUAUUCUUCGUGUAGAGUACAAAAUCAUGAAUUCCUUUUGGAUAAACAUAUAACCAGUUUGAAGCAGCCUGUAAUACCAUAUUUGAGAUUUAUAAAAGUUGUAUAAAUUAAUCCUCCAAAUAUGAAUAACUUGACCUAAAAUUUGAUGUGUACCUGAGGACCAAUAGGAACGCCAUCAAGUUCAGCUGCCACAACAUAUAUAUGAAUGUGAUCAAUAGUAGAAUCUAAUAAUACUGACGUAUGAUUAAUUAGCCGAUAAAAUUUUUGAAUUUGUACUCACUUAGUAAAGUAACAUGUGGAUCAUAUAAGUAACUUGCAGGUUCAGAAUAAUUCUUAGGUACAUCAGCUGCAUAUCUAGCAGAAUAAUAGUUCAGUCCAAUAAAGUCAAAAGACCCAAUUAACAUCUUUGAUUCUUCAUCUGUGAAUUUGGGUAAUCGUUCUCUAACGAGGCCUUGCAUGCUGUAUGGGUAGUCACCUCUUGUAAUUGGAUCCAUAAACCUAUAAAAAUGUGAAACUUCCAAACAUGAACUUAUAGUAUGCAUACUAUACCAGUCACGGCUGGCUAGCUAGCUAAUCAACAUUAUAAGUCAUAAAUAGGGCGAUCUCAAACCAACAAAACUCCUUGUUUUGCAAGGAUCGGGAGGGGUGAGGAACGUUUAUCGUACGCAACCUUACCCUUAAUUUGCAAAUAGACUAUUUCCACAACUCAAACCUGUAACCUUUCGGUCACAAAUGAGCGACAUUUCUGUUGCACCAAGGUUUACCCUAUUUACGAGUCAUAAAUAAAUAAAAAGAAAUAGUAAUGCUAUUCAUACCAUGUUUUUAUACCACAUUUUUAUACUACCUUAAGUGGUAUAUGAUACGGACAAUAUCGUGCUACGGCAGUGGAGCGGGCCCGGGAUGUGAUGGACCCCGGGUCGGGAAAAUAAAAAAAAAGAAAAGAAAAGAAAAAAAGAAAAAAAGAAGGAAAAAAAGAAAAAAAAAAGAAGAAAAAAAACCACAUCAUUUGAAAAAUUUGCAAAACCCAAGGAAAUGAAGGAGAAAGACUUCUCGUAUACCACAAUCAUCGUUUGAUUAAUUAGUUUUUCUUAAUUAUUAGUUUAUUAAAUAAUGAACUAAAUUUAAAAAUCUGAUUAAUUCAAAUGAUGUGGUUGUCCACAUCAAAUACCACCUAAGGUGGUAUGAAAAUAUGGUACAAAAACAUGGUAUGAAUAACAUUACUAAAAAAGAAAUCAAUUGCACUUGCCAUCCGAACAUAAAAUCCAAAGCUCGAUAUGAAGCAUCCAUAUCUUCCUUUGCUUCUGAAGCAGGCUCAAACCAGUGCGACACUAGUGUUAUUCCUAUCACCCCAUUCUGAUAUGCCUACAAAGAAAAUUCAGAAAAUUAUUUGAUUUAGUGCCCUACAAAGUCCAAACUUUGUUUACCUCGCUAUACAAAAUGUUUCCUAGCACACCAAUAUUCAGACAAAAACAGGAACUAGCUAGCUAGUUAAUUAAUUGUACCUGAAAAUUUUCUUUGUACACUUUUACAGCAGCUGCAUGAGCAAGAAGUUGGUGGUGUGUGACUAAAUAGGGUUCGAUAGCUGAAUCUCCACCGAGGCAGGUUGGGUCUUGCCAAGCAGAGCAUCGUCCGGGUGCGUGGAUCCCAAUUGUAUAAGCAUGGUUGCUAAAGGUAUAUGGCUCAUUCAACGUGAUCCAGUGCUUCACUCGGUCACCAAAAAGUGAAAAACAAAGUUCUGCGUAGUCUUUAAAGUCAUCGCUGUGUGUACAUUUCAAACGCUUUUGUUAGAUAUAUAUAGAACGUACGUUUUAGUUAAACAAAUGAUCAAUAUUAUACAUAAGAUAAACUUUGUUGACUUACGCAAUACGAGGGCUUAAGAAACCACCAUAUGCAUCUUCUAAAGCUUGAGGAACAUCCCAGUGAAAGAGUGUCACAAAUGGUUGUAGGCCUAUAUAUAACAUUACCAGUAGAAAGAAGAUUAAAAGUUCGAUUCAGUUAAACUGUAAUUAUAUAUUAUGUAAUGGGCGGAUAUAUGAGAUUAGGUAGCUUUAUCACCAUGGAGAAGGAGUUCAUUGAUGAGAUUGUCGUAAUAUUCAAUUCCUUUCCUGUUAACACCCCCACUUAGCGUUCCAUCUAGUAAAUAGAACAAGAUAAUCAAAUUAGUUAAUGCCUAAUUAAUUCAGGUUAGUCCAUGAAGUAAUUGGUCCCAAAUCAAAUAUAUGAACGCUGAUGAUCAACAUUACUUGGUAACAAUCUGGACCACGAGAUAGAGAACCUAUAAGCAUCGAACUUCAUAUCCUUCAUAAUUGCUACAUCUUUCUGUAAUGACAAGAAAGAAAUACAUAAUACAAGAAAGAAGCUAAAUAUUAAUUGACCAUCUCAUGUUCAAUGUGCCCUUCAACUUCAAAGUAUGAAAGGUUUGGAGAAUUAAUAAUAUUAUUCCUUGAUAGAUAACCUUAUAGAGGUGGUAUUGAUCAAUGGCGACAUCUCCAUUGCUGCGAUCAGUGAUUUUUUCUGUAAAUAACCAUAGAAGUUUUUUUUAUUAUUUAAAGCAUAAAGAUGGUAGAAAUCAUACAGUACGAACUAUUAUGUCCAUACAUGUAUAGUCCAUAUCUUAACAUAUGCAUAUAUACUACAUGCCCAAUGGUAGUUGAUGAUGGUAUGCAGAAGACUAUACCUGGAUGGUUGUGGGUGAAGGUGUCCCAUAUGCUUGGUCCUCUACCAUCUUCGUUCCAUGCACCUUCUACCUGAAAUGUGCAUACAUACAUUUAAACUGAAGAUGUCAAUAUUCAUGCUUGAUUAUAUAUAUGCUAGUUUUCUGACAUUGAAAUAAAAUUAAACCUAAGUGAUUAUAUGAAGGGAAAUUAAAUGGCUAAGCUCUAGUAAAGACUGACCUGGUAAGAUGCUGAAGCUGCGCCAAAGACGAACCCUGGUUUAAGAGCAUCAAAUUUUCCCCUGUCAAGAGAGUUACAGACAAUGGGCCGAUAUGGCUUAGCAGCUUUGGUGUUUGUCAAUGCAAAGCCAGUGAGUAGCAACACAAACAAGAGCAAAGAUCCUAACUCAUGCAUCGCCAUAGUUAACUGGAGGGGGUUUGGUGAUCGAGAUAGCUAGGUUGGUUCUUCCCUGCAUAUUGCAUGGGGUUUAUAUAGAGGGGCUACGUACUACGUCUACAUAUGAAAAUAAUUGAUAAGCAUUUACUUACUAAAAUUUGAUAAACUCGGGCAGGCUUUAAAAAAGUGUGGACCACUUUAAAAGACCAAAGCAAAUACUUUUUGUAACAAUAAUAGUGUUGGGAUAAUACACUUAUACAUACAUACAUUAUAUAUAUAUAUAUAUAUAUAACUUGAAAUUUUGGUGGAUUGAUAUGCAAUAUAUACCAAGGAAUGGAUUUAAUUCUUCUAAACUAAAGUAGAUAGAAAUAUUCAAAAAAGGAAAAAAAUUAGAAGAAAAAUUAAAAAGUGGAGAAACGCACCUCAAGAUAAUAUUCGAUAUCAGACUUUUUUCCUUUAUACUGUUAAUCCAAUUGGGACCGUACUCCAAUAGCAAGCGGUGGCGAAGCAUGCAUGCAUGCAUGCAAAGGACCAGAAAUGUUCAAGUGUUGAUAAAGCCCUUCAACAAUACAAUAGAUUUUUCAAUGUGAUCGGUACACAAGGUGGAACAUUACGUAUCACUGUAAAAAUUAUAUGAUAUGUAUGUUAAAAAGUUAAUAACUUAAAAAAUGAAAUUUUCCACCACUUUUAUUAUAACACGUGAUGUACCACUUGUGUUCCCGUUAUAAUUAAGAAUUUCUCCAACAAUAUUCUGGAACGUAGCCAUCGAUCAUUCUCUUCGUGCCAAAUGUUUGCUAGAAUAUGUUAACACACUCAACACCCAGUUACCUUAACUCGCAAAGAACUAUAUAUGCCCAUGAUGAAUGCUUCCUUAAUCAAAUCACCCCACGAAUAAUUAAUAGUUUUAACCUUUCAUAUCAGUUUAGAAGUUUUAGAAUUGAUUGACAAAAAAAAAAGGUUUUAGAAUUGAAUUACCAGUAAUAUUUCUAAAUCUUAAACUGCAACUUGAAUAUUGAUUUUUUCCCAUUUCAAUUGAAUGCUUCGAUCCGUCAAAUGUGGCUUGGCUUUCUGUUCUUUAUAUUCCAAACUUAGGUCUGUAUAUGUUUUUUUUUUUUUUAUAAUCUUUAUCGUGUAAUAACUUAUGUGUUGUGAUUGGAAGUAAUUUUUUGUUGAUUGUUUUAGUAUUUUAUUCAUACCGUUUAUUUAGGAGAAGGAUUUGCAGAAAUCGGCAGUGUCUCAAAGCAAUCAUGCAAUUACAUGUAUAAAGUUAAAACGUGGCUUGCUGGGUUGAUUAGAAUACGUCAAUUUCAUUGUGAAGAUCUUUGCUGGUAACCACCAUAUGUUGACGUGUUAUUGUAGUAAAAACUGGAGUGCUUGAUUUACUCUGGAACGGAUCGACGGAGUGAGUAAGCAGAUUCACUAUUCCCGAGAGGUAGAAAAAAUGGUCUCACGGCCACUACUAGCAUAGCAUGUAAGUUGAAAAUCAUAGUACGCGUAACAAACUAUGAAUCUAUGAAUAUUAUUUAAUUAACUCAAAAUUAAAGAAAAGAUUGCUGAAAUAGCUACAAACUAAGGAAUAUAUUUGGUUGACUCACUUCUGAUAGAGUUACAAAAUCUGUUUAUAAUAAUUGAAACCCUAUAAAACCUAAUACUUGAAGUAUCUAAACUACCCAAUGAAUGAAAUAAAUAAAAAAUACUAAUAUUUUUCAACACCCCACAUCAAACUCAUGAUGCUAAUUAAACGAUAUGAGUUUGCCAACAAACAGAUGCGAAUGUAAACUCUGUUUGGCGAACAAUGAGGCCUGCAUAUUAUGUUUGGUGCUCUUCAACAAAUAGAUUUUGUAAGGGGGACAUACUUUGCAGCAUAUUGCCCAAAUAGGAGUAUAGAAAUAAAAACAUAUGAAUGCUCCCCCGUACUUAAUGAACGAGAUUCUUAUAUCACAAAUACAACAGCGAACAAACAUAAAAUCAUUUUGUCACCACGUGUGUGUAUAUAUAUAUAUAAUCUAGGGAGCUUUAAUAAAAAGGGCUUGGAUCAACAAAUAUUUAACCAAAAACCAUCCAAAAAUAUUAUUUAACCAAAAGGACUCAAAGUUUAAUAAAAAACCUUCUUCUCACCCUUCUCUGGCUUAAGCGGUGCAAGCUCCGCGCAGCACUUGGGUUUUUUCAACUUCUCCAACAAUGGCAACCCCUACAACAACAUCUUCGAUGUCGACUUUGAUGUCUUCGAAAACCAAGGGUUCCAGGAUCCUGAUGACAACCAUGUUGGUUUGGACAUCAUUCCCUUACCUCUAAUGCUUCGAGCACCGCAGGGUUUGUUUGUUGACUUUUUUUCUGACGGUUUUGUUGAUGGGUUUGACGGUGUAGGAGUCGAUCGUUCGCCUCAGAGCUUUGGGUUUGGCCAUGGCGGAGAUUCUAGAGGCUCAUCGCCCAAACCAGACACGCAGAAUUUGGAAUUUGGAAUUGGAAGAAGAAAUGUAGGAUACUUCGUUGAGGGGUUGGAUUGUAGAAUCCUAGGAUGGACGCAUCUACAGAGGACAAUAGCUCCUUUAUUAUAGAGGACUUUUUCUUCUAUAUAUUGACUGGGGUUUGUUCGUUGAUUUUUUUAGCAUGAAAUUGUUUCGACUCCUGAAACUGUGAGGUUGGACUUGAAAUUUCUAUUGUCUUGGUUUCCCACUUGGUGCAGUUUGUUGAGUCACUCAUCCCUUAACAUUGUUGAACUAGGCAAAAAAAAGAACCAAAACAUAAAACUGUUUUUAGAGAACCCAAAACAUAAAACUGUUUCUGGAAAAAAAAUCAGAUACAGUGUUUGUUUUGUCUGUGCACAAACAAAUAUUGUAUCUGGAAAGAAAAGAACCAAAAUCCAGAAACAGUGACUUAAAUUUCAGAAACAGUGACUUAAAUUCCAAAAACAGUCUAUGUUUUAACCUUUGACUGUUUAUUUUCUUUCAUGCAUCAGUUGAUUAUAUUUAAGAAACAAGAUGCUUAAUUUGCUUUGAAUCCAAAAACAGUGAAUUUCACUAUUUCUUUUGUAGCUUACAUUUAAGAAACAAUGUGUCUAUUUCAUUUGGAUCCAGAAACAGUGAUUUAGAUUCCAAAAACAGUAACUUAGGUUCCAAAAACAGUGACUUAGAUUUCAGAAACAGUAACUUAGGUUCCAGAAACAAUGACUUAGAUUCCAGAAACAAUGUUACUUAAAAUCCAGAGACAAUUUAUUUUUACAAUCUAGAAACAGUGACCCGUCGUUAUUAUUGAAUAGCAUGCAGAUCUCAAAUUUAUUUUCUAGAGAAACAAACGAUAAACUCCACUAAUGAAGAAAAAAUGAAAAACAGUACCUCGAAUACACUAUGAAUAAUAACGACGAUCACAUUUCAACGAAAUAAUACAAAAUAUAAAUUAAAUAGCAUGAGGAUCUAUAUUUUUGUUUCAAAAAAUAAAAAAGAAGGUCUGCAAAACAACGAUGAACUCCAUUAACAACGAAAAUCUGGAACUCAACCUAAAAAAGUUAAGGGUAAAAUGGACAAAUCAUAAUUUAUUAUAGUUGUGCCAUUUUUAGUUAGACUACAUUAAUAUGAGAAUUGUACUAAUCAUUAAACAAAACUUAUAACAUGAUUUUUUAUUAAAACUAAAACUUUUCAAGCCUUUUUUAUAAGUUUUCCUUAAAAUGUAACAACUAUCAUUAGAGUGGUCACCAAUUCAAGCACUUGAACGGUUGUUGUGAUGGACAAUAACAACAUACUCUAUAUACAGGCCCAACAACAUCAACCCUUAUCAUGUCACCCUUAUCGGCCCCAAUAACAACAAAUACUUUUUCUCAACAAAACCUUUUCUUAUCCCUUUUCUGUUUUUUCUUUUGUGCGAACGUAUGGAGUGGACUCAAUGCAGAUAAUGUUGAAAUACAGUAGUGGGUACAAAUGAGGUGUGGCAACAUGCCUGGUGGGUGUGACAACGCAACAACGAAUUCAUGGAUUCAUAAGGUCACGAUGUUGGUGGUCAGAUCGCGAUACAUGUGUGGGUUUGGUCAGUAACAAUGACUAAAGUGGUUUGAUGCGAUUUCGUUAUGUGGUAUAUCAACAAGCGGUAAUGGUAACGUUCGGAAUGGAUUUGUAUCAACGGUCAGUGGGUUCUAGGCCGCGUGACAUAGUUGGUGACAGAUCUAGUACGAGUGCGGGUCAACAUUGCAACAACAUCAUACCAGAGCACAGUACCGACAAUGAGUUCGUUGAUCAGCGGAGGGUCGAGUGCAAUAUAUACCUUAGAAAACCUAAUACUUAAAUUAACUAAAAUACCGUAACAAUAAAAUUACCUAAUAUGAUAAUAUUCUCCAAAAAUGUUUCUCUUACUAUCUAUUUGUAUUAUUUCUCUAAUAGAGAUGGACCCACAUAUGUUCGCAAGCCUUACCUCUAUUAGAUAGAUGAUACAAAUGAUGAUACAAAUAGAUGGUAAGUGUACCAUCAACAUUGUAUUCUUGAAACCCUAUCGGGACUUGAGCAACUUUAAUAUUAUGGCUAAUUACAUUUUGCACCUUCCAUGUUAAUGAGCCAAAUAUAUCUUGUACAACUGUUAAAUAGUUAGUUACACGUGUAUAAACUUAGUUGUAGUUGUUAGGGUCUCAAUUGUAAUUAAAAACACAUGUAUGUGUGUGUGUGUGUGUGUAUUGAACUUAUUACAUUGAGUGAAAGAAAGAUAUUUUGCAAGCUGAGCUUCUUUACAUGCUAAGUUACUUUACAGGUUUGAUGUGAUUUUCAAAAUUGACCAUGAGGUUUCAACUUUCUCAUAUUUUCAUGAUUUUUAAAAUUGUAUUAAAUUCAGCGAACUGUUAUUAGUACUUCAAAAAUCUCAUUAUACACUCAUCAUAAGUGUUGUUUUCUUUCUAAUUAUAGAAAAUUUGGAGUGCCAAAUGAGAUUUUUGAAGUGGUAAUAGCAAUUUCCUAAAUUUUAAAUUUAUACCUUUUCUCUCUUUGAUUGUCUAAUCCUUCAUAAAAUUAAUAUUUUUUUUUUUUUUGCUAACUUGGCAUGCAAAUGUAUCUUACAAGUUAGCCCAUACAAUAAAUUUGACCAAGUGCACAAAUUAAUACAAUUUCACUAUCUUAGAGUGUAAUAUGUGAGAGUUACAAUUUAUUGAUCUAUUUUGAAGAUGAGCCCAUACAUGGAGAGUGUAAAAUGUAGAUAUCCCUUAUUAUUAAGACAUAAAUGAUGUACCAGAAAUAGAAAUUUCUUCUCUUUUUCCUUUUUUAAAGCAUCCAAACCCCACCGCAAGUCACAAAGUCACAAUCCUAGCCGCUUACACAAGCCCAGAAAAAGAAAGGAUGGGAUUCCAUUUUUUCAUGACAGCUUUGGUGAGGACUACGACUCAUCAACUUUAUAAAAAGAGUCUUUACCAGGAAAAAAAAAGGACAAGGGAAAUAGAGGCUGACCUAAAAAAAAGGGAAAGAGAGGGCCUCAGCUUCUUUGCAUGCAUUUCACACAUGAAGUGAUAGAACUGACAUGCACGUUGCAGAAAAAUGUGUGGUGGCUAGUGAUUAGGGGCUCGUACGUGGUGACUCGAAUGGAGAAGGAGGCAGAUUCUUUGCUCUUCUAUUUUUCGUAUUUUUUCAUGCUCUCAUGUUUUAUGUGGUCACAAUUAAGCUACAUCUAUUACUCUUAUAAGGUUAUACAAUUAAAACACAAUAUGAAGGAGUGACUGACCUGAUUCUAACGAUGGUCAUGGAUAUCAAACACGAAAACAAACAGAGUACGGCAACACCAAGAUCUUCUAUAAACUUCUAGCCGAAUACAACUACUCUAUGGGAAGCAUUAUGUUGUGUUCUAGGGCUUAUAGGGACCGGUGUUUUAUAUAGGCUAAAAGCUAGGGUUUCCAUCUAUAAAGGAAACCUAAAUUUUACUUCUUAGCCUCCAAGUCAAGUAUCAUAAUCAUAUUCAAUUAAGGAUUCCAUCAAUCCUAUUUCCAAUAUAAGACACCUUAUAUAGGAUUGAUAUCUUUAAGAGAUCAAAUCACAAUCAACAUUAUUCUCCAAUAUUACAUUCCUAUUACAUGUAGUAGGCCACUUAAAUGUCGAUUUAUAUUGGAUAAAUCCAACAUUCUCCCACUUGGUCUACAAAAUGUAAUAUUCAUUUUUAUACUUGAGAUUGGAGACUAAUGUCACUUUAGUGGCCAUGUAACAGUGAUUACAUCUCGUCCUUAAUGCAAUUUCUGUCAAAUGCAUUUCUUAACAUGAAACUAACAAGGUUGUAGGGUUGACACAACCCAGAACCUUCAUAAUCACACAUGCUAAGAUCCUCAUUCACAUGAAACACAAAUUAUGAUCAAGAGAUGAAACUUUAAAUUAAAUUUUAAAUUAACCAAAAUGUCUUACUUUAUAUCAUCUCAGGUCCACCUUAUUGUAACUCACAAGUUACACUUUAUACUUCUUCGAAGCCUUAAAUCUGCCAAUGCAGAUAUCCUUCAUCUAAUGAAGCCACCAUAACCUGCAAGUGUGAAUACAUUUCCAAAACAAUCAUGCAUCACUUUCAUUAGAUCAGUAAUAAUACAAACAAUGUUUGUAGCCAAUGGACACAACUAAAAGUACCAAAUAGGCACAUGUCCAAGUAAAAUAUCCCAAAAACUUCAUAAAACAAAUUAAUUCAACACUUGUGAGCAAGAUGAAUUAAUAUGUUUUUGACACUGAUCUAUGCACCAUACCAGUUUCAUAGUGAUUUCCAACACCUGCGGGCAAGAUGGAAAUCCUCACAACUGAGGUAGUGCAUAAACCAUGUCAUGCCAUUUAAUAUGCAAUUUGAUAACAACUUGCUAUCUAAUAUAUAUUUCAUCAGAUAAUUGACUAGCACACGAAAAAUGUGAUUUAAUGAAUCUAACUGGAGAUUAAAAUGAAUACAUGGAUUCUAUACGUACCUUAUAGGUCAUCUGUAAAUGUAAGGCAUUACUAACACGAAACUCAAACUCCCACUGAUCUGCAACAUCAUCACUUAAUUUGCAAAUCAAUACUUUAAUCAUAUUUUUGAAAAUAUGCCUUUGGGAAUAGCCUUACUUAGUCAAUGAAUGCAUAUUACCUCAAUGAAAGGUACAAUUAAGCACGAAAGCAUUCAUCACUGUUACACAAAAACAUGCAUCCAACAACCAUCUUAUAUGUAUUAAUAAGUCCACAUUUAUCCUAAGUCCUUAUAAGCCUCAAAACGAAUGAUCAACCAAGAAAUCCAAAUGAUUUCAAGUAACAGAAAAAUGUACGCAUAUACUAAGUAGUCAUUCGUGCAACUUAAACAUAUUAUUAUUAUUCGAGUAACACAAAUUCAUGGAAGAUAGAAUAACGCUUUAAUAAAUUCAUGCAAAUCCGCUUAAUGCUCAAAAACUCCCACUAAGUUUUCAGAGUUUAUACUUGCAAAUAAGUUAAUGAGUGUGAAGCCCAAUUUUCGUUCACUAAUUCUCCCACUUGGGCAAACACUCAUUAAUAUAUUCUUUCAGAGAUGUACCUAAAGAAAAUUGCUCUAUAUUUUAGACAUAAUAAAAUAGACAUCUCAACCAACAUAAAGUUGGCAAACAGAAUUUCAGCAACGAGUUACACUUACUUUAGCAUUAAUCAUAAUUAAUUUAUAAGCUUGAUUGCUACCAAAUUUAUACUGAUCAAAAUAGACAUACUAAUAUUCAUAAAAUAAAAAUAUAGAGACGUUUUGGAUCAAAAUAAUAGUCUAAAGUCACGUCUCAAAAAGACCAACACAAUCUGCCAAGAACUGUCUAUAAGAGCAUGGAUUACUAGUGAAUUCACCAUAAUUAAAAUACAUGGCAGAAAAUUACAAAACUUUUCAGACACAUAGUAGACAUCUAUAUGUUGAACAUAUCCAAAAUUCAGAUCAUUUGGUGACCAUUAGACGUGUCAUUCACCCGAUUUAAACCAAGACACGCAAUCUGCCAGAAACAAUUAUGUGCAUCUAUCAUGAAUUUAUGCAUCCAUAACAAAUUCAAUUUCAUAUCAUUUCAAUUUCGAUGUCCAAAGGAAACUUUAGUAGUCAAAUUUCAUCUUCUAAACCGACAUCAUAAUUCAAAUUGAAAAGAUUUACAAGCAUAAGACUUAAACAAUGCGUACCUUAGCAAUCCUUGAUUAACCUUCAUGGGUCCAAUACUUUGCAUCAACAAGUCUCAUGAAGAGAAACAAAAUAUGUCAUGAUGCAACCGAUUUCCAUGCCUUCAACCCACAACCUUUUAUGGGGCUCAUUGUGGAAAUAUUUGUCACCAAUGGCAUGGAACUUUAUCCCAAUAAACUUCACGAAACUAAAUUAAUUUACACCUGUAGGCAAGAAAAUUAACUAGUUUCUAGUACUAGAUUUUAUGUCACAAAAGUACCUUCAUGAAAAACUUCAACACAUGUAGGCAAGAUGAAGAUUUUCACAACUUCGGUGAAAUAAAACUCAUACUAUGCCAUCUGAAUUAAACUAAAAGAAGUAAUCCACACUUGUAGGCAAGAAGAUUAUCCCUUUUGUUCUAAUUAAGAUGCAAAGAUGACCGAAGUAACUAAAAAACGUAGUCCCAUCGUCAACUAAACCGUUGCAUCUUGCUUAGUUGAAAAGGCAUUGGUCAACUCCGUCCUAAAAUAAUACAAGAAGUCACAUGGAUUAAUUAAUUGUAAGUGACAAAAAUAGGAUAACAUGAUUCGAGCUUCGAGUCUUGCCAACAAAUGACACUAAUUCCUUCAUGACUCCCUUUGAUAUUAAAUUAAUCCCAGAAACCUGACAGCAUACUUGAAGGAGAUUAAUCACAUAUAGAACAAGUUUUCACCACAAGAAUGUCAAUACUUAUCAUUACAGAGUCAAUUAGAAAUACUUUAUGUAAUGUGAGAGAACAAUACAUUCCUUUAAUUUAAAAGCUAAGUCACUCAAAUGUUUGCUUAAGUCAAAACAGGUUCCUUUUCUUUUGUACCUUUCUUUCCGUAGUACAAGGCUCCUAAAACAUUAGCAUCAAAAUCGUGCAUUAGCCUUGUAAAUACCAAAUUAAAUAAAAGGAACCAAAAUUAUUUUCUUCCAUAGAAAACAUUUCCAAUAUAUGCCCUACAUUAGCCUUGAAAAGUUUCUUUUCUUCUCCCCUUAUGGCAUAUAAAAAUUACUAAUCAAAGCACUGUUUAAAUUCUUUAGGCAUAGGAAAAACCACAAACAAUAAUACAUGUUUGAAAAUUCAUGCUUGUCAAUUAAGCCACAUACUUUGAAUGGAUUACAUACCUCAUGUCUUCAUAUGUUCACCACUUCUUUGUAAACAUAUAUAUAAUCACAUGACCAACCAAAAUUCUCAUAUAAGCAUAAAAAUACAAAUGAGAACUGUCACAUAACUACUACAAACCUUAUUCAUUUGUAUAAUACCCUUGUUCUUGUCACUGGAUGCUUUCUGUCAUUCUCAGUCAAUCCACAAAUUAUACAUCAAUUUUCAUAGUUAACUAGUCAUGUAUAAUUUAAAUGACUAUUGAGAUAAGAAAGCAAAUUGUAGACAAACCUGAUUGAUUAGUCAUGCAUAUUUCUUGUGCUAUUAAUGGCAUAAAAGUUCAUUCUCAUCUUGUGAAAAUUAGUGGAAACAAAACUACAAUUCACUAUAGUCCAAAACCCAUGACAAUAUUGAAAAUAUGUAAUCUCAUGCUCGAACCAAUUUAGCCAUACAAGCAACACUAUACACGCCAUUUGCUUAACAAAUGUUGCCAAAAUCUGUAUGACUUACUUUCAUGUAUAGGAAUUUUAUCAAAUUCAUUAACAUACAUGUAUAUAGUUGACACGUAUAAAACUUAGCGUAUGCUUCCCUGCAACACUAUUGUAAUAUAUGUUAUUACAAUCAUAGGCAUAACAUAUCCCAAUAGUAUUGAUAAAUUAUAGGAUAUGACUAAUUAUGUCUCCUACAAUCAGAAAGACGUCACGACAUGGUUGGAUUUUGCAGGAACAAUAUAACACUUCAUGAAUCCAACAUAACCAUUCCUUAUAUAAUUUAUCAUGAAGACCAAAAGGAAAGAUCAUACCAGAAUUUCAUAUACCGAUGUAAUACGAACCUCUUCAUUGGGCUUGUUCCACUGAGGAAUCUUAAGAAAUUCUCCAAUGCAAGGUUAGAACAAAUGUAAAUACAUAUACAUGCUAUGCGAACUGUAGAUACAUAAUUGGCUUUAGAAAAUUAUAUAUACUUGCUUGAUCCAACAAUUGCUGGCAUUUAUGCAAUUGUUUCUUGUCACAUUAACGUAUCACUCGUAGCAAUUCAUAUAGAAUACAAUUCAUGGAAAAUAAUAUUAGUUCUUAUUCAAUAAGCUUAUGCCCAUUUAGAUACGUAUUGCCAAAAUAUAUAAUAAUUGGAUCCAUAUUCAUGACAUACUUAACCGAUACAUGGUAAUCAAUGUAUGUACAUACUCUACAAUAAUUAGCACAUCACUCAUGCAAUUAUAUCUUUAUCUUAUUACCAAUUUAAGCUUUGAGGGAUCAACCCAAAUAUAUAUCAACCAAAAUACCAUAAACCAUUAUGGAAAUCAAAGUCAAUGAAACAAACCAUUUUGCUUUGGUAGAAGACUUUGCUCUGCUUGCUAAUCGGAGGGACCUCUUCAGUAAGGUCAGAACAAAUAUAGCAUGCUUACAAAAAUUGAGAUCAUCAGUGGCACAUGGUAAAUCAAUUCAACCAAAACACUAGCAUGAAGAUUGAAAAAGAACAAAACUGUUAUUCUUCUUAGUGCCAUGGUUUCCACUGUAAAAUACAUAAUAUAAUACCACGCCUUACAUAUAUGCUUCUUUACGUUCCUAUUUGAUUAUAGGAUUCCAAUUCCUAUAUGGUUUUUAAAUUUCAUGCUUCAAUACUAUAAGAAUAUUAUAUAAAUUCUAUGCUUCAAUUCCAUAAUUUAAUUCAUGCUUGAUCAAAAGCACCUCUAAGCGUAGUUCAAUUUCCAAUUGGCAAGCAAAACUAUGUGGUUAUAUAUAAUACACCGCAUACAAUAUUAUGGGUUCGUGCUAUAAUCAGGCAACUUGUCUUGCUGAUAAUAAUCAAGGUAUCAAUUAGCAUAGUUCUUAAUAAAUUUCCCUUGACUGCAACCAUAAUAUUAGUGAAAAAUAUUCUUGAUUAAAACUGAAUAAUUAUGUAACCUGAUCAUAAUUAACAAUUGAACUUAUUCAAAUCGCAUGGUGAUGUUGCCGAGUAUAUGCAAUGAGAAUUUGGAUUAAACACGCAGUUCAAGAGAAUAUUAUAUAAUCCAACAUUAAACCUAAUAGGUUUUAAUUAUAUAAUCAGUGGCUCUGAUACCAACUGUUAGUCUUAUAAGGUUAUACAAUUAAAACACAAUAUGAAAGAGUGAUUGACCUGAUUCUAACGGUGGUCAUGGAUAUCAAACACGAAAGCAAACAGAGCACGGCAACACCAAGAUCUUCUAUAAACUUCUAGCCGAAUACAACUACUCUAUGAGAAGCAUUAUGUUGUGUUCUAGGGCUUAUGGGGACCGGUGUUUUAUAUAGGCUAAAAGCUAGGGUUUCCAUCCAUAAAGGAAACCUAAACUUUACUUCUUAGCCUCCAAGUCAAGUAUCAUAAUCAUAUUCAAUUAAGGAUUCUAUCAAUCCUAUUUCCAAUAUAAGACACCUUAUAUAGGAUUAAUAUCUUUAAGAGAUCAAAUCACAAUCAACAUUAUUCUCAAAUAUUACAUUCCUAUUACAUGUAGUAGACCACUUAAAGGUCGAUUUAUAUUGGAUAAAUCCAACAACAUCAAUAUUUUAUAUUAUUUUUUUAUAGAGAUAAUAUGACAAAAAGAAAUAGUAAUAUAAAAAGUUGACAUGGCUUAACCGUGAUCACACAAACAGGAUGGCACGAAAAAUGAGAGAACAGAGAAUCUGCCUCCAAUGGAGAAAAGGGUUCAGUUUGCUAGAACAGGGAAGACUUUGGUUGUGGAUUGAUUAUCCAAUCUAAGGGCAUCUAGUCUUUUUAUGAGUGAACACAAGAAAAAAAUAAAAUUACAAAAAUGAACUCCUAUGAAGCUCCAGGGAGAUUAAUCCUACCGAUUGGGGUCGGCCCUUCCCUACUACAAAUCCUGCUUGCUUCUUUUCAUUUUUGCCUAAAACCUUGACUUCACCAUAAGCGUCUGUACCGUAUUUACAAAGUCCUGAACAGCAUUAAAACUAGGAAGUUUUAACGAAACACUUCCGAUACUAUUCACUUUUAACGAAAAACCACAUUUUUACCUUUUCCUGAUACUAUUUACUACACAUUUAUUUGUCAUUUUUCAUUAAAACUAAAAAAAAUUUGGACUGUUUGUUAGUUUUUCUUUAAAACUAACGGUAUGCCGCAAAAAGCUCACCUGCCAUGCCGAAACAACGCCAAUACAAGCAGUCGUAAGCAAUUGUAUUCCGACAUAUACCUAAAAAGUAAAAACCCUGUAAUAUAAGGACAUAGAAUCUACAAUUGACCAUCUACGCCUGCUGUUUCUACCCAGACGACAUCCAUUUUUUUGGCCUUACCCAAUGCAAUUCAAGUAUAGAGUCUCUGGCAUUGAUGCCUAUUUUGUAAAAGCAUGGCAAAUCCUUGCAUCUGCAUCAUAUCCCAUUGUAGAAAAAGUUGCACGCCUCUCUGCGUUUGGGGACAAUUUGGUUGUUUUUCAAUCUCACAUGUGAGACUAACAAGGGCCAUAAACAUAGCACAACAGUGAUGGUAUAUCCACCAUGCAUGGACGAAUAUCACUUCCACUUAUUCUCAGUAUGUAUUCUCGCAGUGCCAAACCAGUGUAGAGGAAUAACAUUGUAAGCCUGAAGUGGAAACGUUGGCAAACAUCCAUCCCAAAUCGAAGAUCUUAGUAUACGUAGUGUUGCUGGGAAAAGAAGGAAUAGCAGCGCAGUUCAUCUCUGUAAGCGUUGUAUUCCUCUUUAACCUUGAGUUGGAUAUCUUUGAUAGAGGAACGCACGUUUAUGGGACCGAGAAAGAACCUCACAAAACUCCCUCCCUGAGAUUUCCCAGGAAGAAACGAAGCAGCAACUCAAGAUAGAGUAAUGAUAGGGUGACUGAAUUUCUAGAUUAAAUUUUAGAAACUAAAGGACAUGGAAAUUGAUGAUUGGUUUAUUACUUAGGCGUUGAUUAAUGUGCUCAAUCUUAUUGGUAACACAUCAUUUAGUUUGCAAAUGUAAUCUAAAAAUUUAAUCUCUCUAACAUUACCUAUUAUUAGAUAUGAGAUUUUUUUUUCCUUCUUUAUUGUUAAUCUAAUAGGGACCAUACUCAACUAGCAAGCAGUGCGAAACACGCAUGCAUGCAUGCAAGGGACCAGAAACGUUCAAGUAUUUCAAUGCAUGUUAUAUAUAAUUAGAUAAAGUCUUUCAACAAUAUUUUGGAACGUAGCCAUUGAUUCUCUUCUGGCCGCCCAAAUAUUUGCUAGAAUAUGUUAAAACACUCAACACCCUGUUAUCUUAACUCGCAAAGAAUGGUAUGUGGCCGUGAUGAAUGCUUUCUUAAUCAAAUCACCUUACGAAAAAUUAAUAGUUUUAACCUUUCCAGUUCAGUUUAGAAGUUUUAGAAUUGAUUGAAAGAAAAAAAAAUUUAGAAUUGAAUUACGCGUAAUAUUUUCCAAAUUUUAAACUGCAACUUGAAUAUUGAAUGCUUCUUGGAGGAAACAUUUUAAGUAUUUUUUCAAGAUUUACUUGCAUUUUCACUAAGGAUUGGUUUGAAAAAAAACUUUCAUCAAAAUCAUUUUCAGUCAUUUUAGAAACACUUUCAGAUAAUUCACGUGUUCUUACUGAUAAGUAGAUGUGUAAAUUCUAAUUAUUCUUUCCUAUAUGGACUUGUAUUGGGAAAGAAGGAUUUCCUCUCCCUCUUAUUACUAUAAAUAAAUAAAGUCACUACAUAUGAGGGAAUAAGACAUAAUCCCCACGAUUCUACAAAUACAUCUCUCUCUACAAUCUCUCCUUGAUGUCGUCCCUCUUUCCUUAGUCAAAUAAAAUAGGCUACAACAUAUUUUUAUUUCUGAAAACUCUAUAGGCUUAUUAAUUCCGCAGUUUUGCACUGGCGUUUAAAGCCCAAAAACAUUAACUAGCAAAGCCCAAAUAAAAUACCCUGGCCCAACGGAACCGGACUAUAUUGGAAGUGAAUUUGUUUGGUUUCUCUAACCAUUUCUGCUGAGAAUCGAACCAAACCCAUGAGGGACUCCGACUCGGUUUGCGACUCUGGCCCAACGGAACCGGACUAUAUUGGAAGUGAAUUUGUUAGGUUUCUCUAACCGUUUCUGCUGAGAAUCAGAAUCGAACCAAACCCAUGAGGGACUCCGACUCGGUAUGCGACUUUUGGGUGAACUGAGUCGAACCGCAUCGUACCCACCCCGUAACGCGUAAGCAACACACAUCGACUUGGCUUCCAAACUAAAUCUUCCAUUGUUUACUGGUAAAAUAGAUUGAUCCCAAGGUAAUCAUUAAACAUUAACCUAAACCGUAUCCAUUCAGGCAAAAUAGAUUGAUACAUCUUUUAAGCUGCCAUCCAAACUUUGCAAUGCAACAGAAACAGCGGACAUUUUCGUGCGAACCAACGCUUCAAUCGCCAUGUUGAAACUGCAUUUUGAACAAGCACCCAAAACAAAUUGAACCAAAAUUCUAGGAUACUCGAGGUGCUCUAAUCGUUAAAUCUUUAAUUCCAAUGAAGGGGAAAUCAAAGGGGUUUUUUGUACCCUCAAUCUGUGGAUUCUGUACAAAUAAAUGAACAAAAACUGCAUGCAGCAUAAUCCCUCCCAAGAUACACUAAGAACAGUUCAAACGAAGUUCAAUAUUCAUAGCAAGUGAAGAGCAAAACAGAGAUGGAAUGGCGUUCGUGAUCAUCGCAAUGCAGUUUUGACAAAACACGAACACAAUUGGAGAAUCAUACACCUAGAGUUUGAUAGUAUUCGAUGACUAAAAACCCUCUAUUCGAAGGUUGAUUUCUUCUUCGAAAGAACGAGCUCUGAAUCUCUGAAAGAGAAGUAACCCCAAGGAUUAUAUGAUUGGGCAUUUCAUCAAACAAGCUUCGCAAUUGAAAACCCCACAAGAUAUGUAUAAGCACCAAGAAUUAUAUGAACCACAAUCGUAUUUCAUUUCCUACCAAGAUAAAGAUCGAGUUCCAAAUCAACGUAAAUUCGAAAAAAAAAAUUGAAAGUAAAAUACACAUUUACUAAUUAAAACCCUAACCCUAGACCCAUACGACUUGAUUUCAAGUACCAGACAUUGAAACCCACAAACCCUAACCCUUCAAGAGCUGGUGAACUUAGUCACGGCCUUGGUCCCUUCCGAAACAGCGUGCUUGGCGAGCUCACCAGGGAGCACGAGCCUCACGGCGGUCUGGAUUUCCCGGGAAGUGAUCGUCGGUUUCUUGUUGUACCUCGCGAGCCUGGACGACUCCUGGGCGAGCUUCUCGAAGAUGUCGUUGAUGAAGCUGUUCAUGAUUCCCAUGGCCUUGCUGGAGAUCCCGAUGUCAGGGUGGACCUGCUUCAGCACCUUGAAGAUGUAGAUCUUGUAGGUCUCCACGCUCUUCUUCGAUCUCUUCUUCUUCUUGUCUCCGGCGGCCGCUCCGGCCUCCUUCGGGAGCUUCUUUCCGGCCUUGGGCUUUUUCUCGGCGGGGGCUUUCUCCGCCACGGCGGACUUCUUCUCCUCUGCUGGCUUCUUCUCGGCGGGCCUUCUCGGCUUUGGGCGCCAUUGUUAGAGUUGGGUGAGAGAAAAGUUGGGGGAUUUGGGGAUUUUUCGAUUUGGAUUGAAAGACUCGGAGAGUAGGAUGUUUCGUGAUGGACUUAAAGAUGAGGAGAAUGUGUUUUUAUAUAAUGGGGAGCGGUUGGAUUCCAUUGGCUAAAUUGGUUUGACGAGGAUCGCUGUCUGGGAUGUGGUUUUGGCCGUGGAUUGGGUUUGGGAAAGUUCAAACAUUGACGGUUGCGAUGUGUUAAGCUGGUUCAAGCGGAUUGGUGCCCUGAUCGGUUAGUUUAAGUGGAAUUGGACGGUGGAUAGUUUUUGUAUGAAACUGAGAACGGACGGUUGAGAUGAGGGACUGAUCGAUGACAUCAUCUGGGUGUAGUUCUUUUUACGAAGGAUAUGCAAAUUAGAAAUAUCAGAUAGUAAAACUUGGGUGAACUUGAUACAAUAUUUUACAACAAAAGAUAAUAAAAGAAUUGAUUCUUACCAAUUGUGAACAUGGUUUAUAUCCCCAAGUAGAUUGGAAACCUUAAAACCAUUGUAGAAGAGAAAUGCGUACAAAAUUUUCUUAAAGUUGAACUUUUUUAUGAAUUAUGCCCUUCAUGUUUUUUGUACAAUAUUUUAUAAUAUUGGCGAUACGAAAAUUGAUUUUAUAGUAUGAGAUGACAGAGAUUCCAUGAAAAUGCCCACUUUAAAAGAAUAUUCUUAACAUUUCUCGAUUCUGAAAGAUUGUAUUAAGAUUAAAGCACUUCCACCGUGCUUAAUUGCCCUAUGGAUAGGCUCCAAAUCCAUCGCAAUCCACCCCCUCUCCCCCCCCCCCAAAACUCCUUUAGCCCACCUUCGGCAACUAAGCAAAGAGGAGCCAACCAAGAGGUCAGGCAAAAAUCCAAGGCCCAAGGGCCUGGAUAGAUGUGACGUCAGACAUGUUCUAAAAAAAUUUGCGUCAAGCGUGUGGGCAACACACGCAAGUGGGCGCAUCUCCGACAUAUUUUCAAACGGAGGGCCCCACAUGUCAACCCCACUCAAUUACCAUUGAAUCUGGACCAUUUGAUUUCUAAAUUGUCCACGUUUUUUGGCUUAAAAAAUUAGAAAUGUAACGGUGGGCCACGUGUCACAAUCUGGACUAUUAGAUUUCAAUUUUUUGGUAAUCCAACGGUCUAGAUUAAUUAAGUUAAUAAAAAUUUGAAAAAUAAUUAAAAAUCUGAAAAAAUAUCAAUAAUUUUUAUAAUUUAUAAUUUUUUUUUUAUAAAUACCUUGCCAUUUUCUCCCACUUUACACCAUAUUUCAAUAUUUCAACGAUUCUAGACAAGUAAGGACACAUCGCAAAACGGAAUUGAUUAAAAAUCUUAUCGAAAUCUAUCUAUAAAAAAUGUACUUUCGGAUAAUAACACGUAGCUUAACGAGAUCGGUUAAAACUCCUAUCAGAAAUUAAAAAUAAAAUUAUUUUUUAUUAUUUUAUAAAAUAAAAAAUACUAAUAUUUUAAUACAAAUUGUUUAAGCUAUUCAGUAUUGUGGUGGAGAUGCAAUAAAUAAUUAUUGUUCAUUAAAGUUGUUACUAUUCACUAAGAGAUUGAAUUGCCUAUGGCCAAGGAGGCCCUUUACAAUUGCUUUUAGGAAGCUUCCAAAGAAUAUUUAACCUUAAAAGAUGCUUUCUGUACUGUACUGAGUGAGUGUAUAUGGUUGCUCAAAUCUGAAUGAGAUUCCAGCAGAGUUGGGGAAGAUGGAAUCUCUAAUAGGGCUUAAUUUUGCUGAAAUUCCAAUAUCUCAAAUACUCAUGAACACCGCUGGGAUGGUCGAAUCAUUCAUGAGGAGAAAUCCAGAAAAUAUUUGGGUCUUUCGGAUGAUGCUUUUCCGAAAGAUUUUGCUAGGCCAAUAAGAUCGACAAGCAUCCCGUCCAGGUCUCUCUCUCUCUCUCACACACUUACAUUUCUUCCUGGGAACGUGCUGCCUUGUCAGUUCAGCCAUAAAAGUAAAGGCCCUUCAUAUCUUGUACUGUGCCAUCACUUCAGGUCUCCGGAUUGGAGGCUUGAACGUACUCUCUCUGUAUAUACAAACAUUGCUCAUUACGAAUGUACUACUAACAACGAUAGUAAAGAUGUUGGGGUUUGCAGCCCAUUGAAUCCAAUAAUGGCUGGCGUUGUUAAUAAGUGAACAAAUCUGAAGUGGAUCUAUGAACCAUCAUGCCUCUGCUUUCCAGAUAGGGGAGAAGCAUGGUAUGCUUCAGCCACUGGAGUUUGGGGAAUCAAUUGAGAGAUGGCAACGAAGUGAAAGUUCCCGAUUUCUGAGAUCCUGGUUCCGGGUAAAGGAGGGGCAUUCAGCUAAUUGUGCACGAGGAAGAAAAUAAUAUGUGCAGUACCCAACGAGAAACAACUGAUCCUUGUUUUUCCGAUCAUUUUUGGACAUUUGGCGUGAUAGGAGUUGAUGCCAAGAACAUACUUCGUCUCCCAUGGACAAAAGGAGAAAGAAAACGUUCAGGGAUUGCAUCAUUCGGUUUUGUUCAAUGACAUAUUGGGGAACUCUACUCAAGAGAAAGAAAGAGAUGUUGGAAACUAAUGUGUUUGUAGUACGUAUUAAUUUCCAUGCAACUGUCAAUGCAGGAAGUUCAUUGUAUAACAAGUAUCCCAGAUUACAUUUAUUCAACUAUGUGCGGGACUUGGAGUAGUCAUGUUUUGGUUGAAAAUGCAAUCAGCUAUUUCAGAUUUUGUCUCUGCAGCAGCAAUGGCAGGUACGAACAUCAAUUUCAAUCUGCUAGUUUGGUUGGUUCGUGUUUUACGAUCCAAAUCUAUAGAAAACUUGCAAAGCCAAUGACAUAUUGGUGGCAAGGAUGAGGAUUACUAGUGUCUUAUUUCAGAUCAUUGCCUCUGAGUACGCGUCUUGCAAAAUUUAGGGCACCAGCGAAACUGAAACCGAGUUUGAGCCAACCGAUCGAAUCAAUGUGUAGACUGAAAUUUUAACUCCCCGUCCAAAACUAACUGAUUUGAUUAUAAGUUCAUUCCAUACCGACCGAACCAGACCGGAAUAGGGUUAUUAUAUACAUUCUAAUAUGAAAGGGGGUCAUUCGAAUUCGAGCGUAUCUAAAUAGGUGAAAUUACAAAAUUAAACACUGAGUUGCCGCCCAAAUUAAUUGGUGGCGCCAUUGAAAUAGCGUCUAAAAUCCCUAUUUUCCUUUGAUAUUCUACACAUCUGCAUAAUUCUCAUUUCUUUAUUUAGGCAAUGAAAACUUGAGCACAAGAAACAAUAAUCGAUAGACUGCUAAUGAUAUUGAAAUCGGAUUCAUGACAACAAAAGAUUUUGCCGAAAACCAGGUAAAUUUUUCAAACGCCAUAAGGACAAAAUCAAAUCGGGCUAAAGGGGUCUAACCACAUCAAUGUAAAACUCAAGCAAAUGCAAAUAUUCAACAAAUUUAUGUUACUCAAAUCCUGAUUUUCAAUUUAAAACAUUAAAGUAAGGAAGUGGGCUGUUCAUUUCGAAUUCAAGAGAUUACAGAAUCCAAAUUCAUCAAUCCAUGCCACCACAAAUUUCAGAUCAUUGUAUUUCAUCCAAUAGAUAAGAUAUUACAUAUCUACUAACCAGAAACCCUACACACUAACACAUAAAGAUCCACUCUUCCAAGCCCUAAAAGACGCAGACGACGAACAGAACAGAACCCACCACACUU